rnacentral:rRNA from 1 species
UACGAAGGUCCCAAGCGUUAUCCGGAUUUAUUGGGUUUAAAGGGUGCGUAGGCGGACUUUUAAGUCAGUGGUGAAAGCCCCAAGCUUAACUUGGGAACUGCCAUUGAUACUGAUGGUCUUGAGUACAUUUGAGGUGGGCGGAAUGUGUCAUGUAGCGGUGAAAUGCUUAGAUAUGACACAGAACACCGAUUGCGAAGGCAGCUCACUAAGCUGUAACUGACGCUGAGGCACGAAAGCGUGGGGAGCAAACAGG